CCUAUUUGAAGGCAGAGUGUCGUCGGUAACACGAUAUCAAUUACUUUGUACGAUCAAAAAAAAUCGGGAAGUCAACCCGUUUUGCGCUGUUUUUUCAAUUUUAUAGGUGUGUUUAAUAACAUAGACAUUUUGAAAAUGCAUAUUUAGGUAGGUAUUACUAUUACGGAGGGCAAAGUCUCAUAAAAUAUUGAAGAAUUAAUAUAGUUUAAAUCACAUAAAAAAAUAAACCAAGAUACGCGCGAAAUCGAGGCCGCGCGGGCCUUCAAAUGCUCGCGAGGCUUUGUUGAGGUAAGACCUGUGUCGAGUCGUGCGCUCACCGACUCCCGCCGCGCGCCGUGCAUUUUUGUUAAAAAAUUUAAAAUAAAUAAACGACAAAAGAGGGACAGGAUAGAUAAUAACAGUAGAGCUACUCGUGUUUAUACAAGGUUGUCAGAUGAGGGUAGAAAGUCUACACAGUGUGGACUUACUUCCAGCCAGUCCAGGGUGAUCAAAAUAUCCAGCCGGUGCUGCGAACUCGACAACUAAAUAUUGAAGAAUUUUAAAAGAUGAACUUAGA